rnacentral:tRNA from 1 species
UCUCUCGUGGUGUAGAGGUAACGUGCCUUUCUUGUGAGUAGGAGUCGUGAGUUCAAGUCUCACCGAGAAGA